CGUAAGAAAGGUUGGUAAGCACAUAGCGCCGGAAACGCUGGUGGUAACUUGUGUACGCGCAACGACGCCUGGUGGGUGGAAUUGAAACCUGACUGAGUCCACAGGCGGGUGUGCGACCUAUUACUUGCGUGGAACUGGAGGCGUGGGUGAAAACGUUGCAUAGGACCUUAAAAUACUACAUUGUGAGGAGUAGGCUUUCAGACCUAUCAACUGGAGGCUCGCGUAAGGUGCGGGCCUGGUUCUAACGGGUACAGAGGAUCAGGGUUCGAUCCUGGAGAGGUAGCCCGAGAAACAGCUACCACUUCUAAGGAAGGCAGCAGGCGCGUAACGUUCCCACACUGGUUGAGACUAGCUCGAAUACAACCGAGGACGUUAAGGAACAUAUCGAUACCACUCCUUAUGGACGUGGUAAUCGGCAUGGGGGGAGCUUAAAUCCCACUGCCGAGUAACAAUUGGAGGACAAU
rnacentral:rRNA from 1 species